rnacentral:rRNA from 1 species
UACGUAGGGGGCAAGCGUUGUCCGGAAUUAUUGGGCGUAAAGAGCUCGUAGGCGGUUCGAUAAGUCGGGUGUGAAACCCCCAGGCUCAACCUGGGGACGCCACCCGAUACUGUCGUGACUAGAGUCCAGUAGGGGAGUGUGGAAUUCCCGGUGUAGCGGUGAAAUGCGCAGAUAUCGGGAGGAACACCAGCGGCGAAGGCGGCACUCUGGGCUGGAACUGACGCUGAGGAGCGAAAGCGUGGGUAGCAAACAGG